AUGAUACUCCCUCCGUCCGGAAAUACUUGUCAUCAAAAUGAAUAAAAGGGGAUGUAUCUAGAUGUAUUUUAGUUCUAGAUACAUCCCUUUUUAUCCAUUUUGAAGACAGAUAUUUUCGGACAGAGGGAGUAUUAG
rfam:Triticum aestivum genome assembly, contig: Triticum_aestivum_CS42_TGACv1_scaffold_030886_1BL